UGUUUGUGUCAGUAUUUUUGGUCACACCGAUGAAAAGCUGCCUAGUAGAACCAUAGCAUCUGAUUUAUGGCUUUCCUCAAGUUUGGAUUUUCGUUCUGCACUUCCUUAAAAAUAGAGCACAUCUCUGUUAUCUGAUGCAUAGUCAUCAGGGCCCACUGGACAAAACAGAGAGGAGGUAUCCUGAGAAGGGACAUGGCUUCUCUUGCAUGGCCACUUAAGGGCACAAGACAGAAUGCUCCAUGAUUUUCUGAACUGAAACACAACCUCAUGACCGGCUUUGGCUAAUAAAAUAGAGAAUUCUCACUGCUCCUCGCUAUUGGAUAGCCUGACUUUCACCCCCAUGUGAAGCAAAGAGGGUGACUCCAGCUUCAUCUAUUCUUCUAAUCAGCAAAAAAGUUACCAUGACAACUUCACUUCUAUGUCCCUCUGCUUGGCUGCACAUGAGAAGCACGGAUUGGCUCACCCAGGGUCCAUUGCGCACCAGCAGGCAAAGGCAAUCUCUUCACUCAUUUGUGAUGAGGAUUGGACAUUGUUAUUAACCCUCCAGAACCAAAGAUCCUGGAUGUGCAGGUCACGAUCUCACUUCACUCAAGCUAUUUAUUUCUUCCCAAUAGGCUUGAAUUUGGGGCAAGUUAUUUUUCAAAUAAUCAGUAAAGUUUAUUCUUUAAUUAUCUUAGUAACAUAGAGACUCUUCAACUACUUUUAUUUCCCCAUUCUAGCAUUUAAAUAAUUAAAUUCCAGAAACAUUUACUGAGUGUGUACUAUGCAGUCUUCUUAUUGAAAAUUCUUAAAGUAAUUAAACCACUUUUUACAUUAAUGUUUCAAAAAUUUAAGACCCAAGCAUUUAAAACAGUUAUAGAGAGUUAUAACUCUUUGCCUUUAAGUGGAGCCAUUCAUAAUAGAAAUUCACUCCCAUGGGUUCUAUUAAAAAUCAUUAGGAAAAUAAGAUCCUGAAUUUCUUUUGUCUACUCAUGGAUCCUCCCAUCCAUCCUCCUUUCCAUCUAACAAGGACCAUGUGGCAAGCCCUGCGCUGGGUGUUGGGUAUACAAUAGUGGUUCCUCUUUAUUGGAAUUCUACAGCCCAGAAGUGGAAAGAGUCCUGGAUGCAAAGAGAAAGGUCCACACCCUAGGUUGGGUUCUUUCUCUUACUAUUUAUAUAGCUUUGGGGAGUCACUUAACUGCUUGACUUCUCCUUUCUUUGUGUGAAGGGAGGCUCCCCUGUUUCAUAGGGCACUUGAAAGGAUUGUAUUUGAAUUCAUUCUACAACUUUGAUACAUUAUACAAAUAUAAAUAACAAUUGUGAAUUAAGUUUGAUUCAAAUAGUGUGGGAAUAAUAUCUCU